GUAACACGUAUCCAACCUGCCGUCUACUCUUGGACAGCCUUCUGAAAGGAAGAUUAAUACAAGAUGGCAUCAUGAGUUCACAUGUUCACAUGAUUAAAGGUAUUCCGGUAGACGAUGGGGAUGCGUCCAUUAGAUAGGGGCGGGGUAACGGCCCACCUAGUCUUCGAUGGAUAGGGGUUCUGACAGGAAGGUCCCCCACAUUGGAACUGAGACACGGUCCAAACUCCUACGGGAGGCAGCAGUGAGGAAUAUUGGUCAAUGGGCGCAGGCCUGAACCAGCCAAGUAGCGUGAAGGAUGACUGCCCUAUGGGUUGUAAACUACUUUCAUAAACGGAAUAAAGUCGGGUAUGUAUACCCGUUUGCAUGUACUUUAUGAAUAAGGAUCGGCUAACUCCGUGCCAGCAGACCGCGGUAAUACGGAGGAUCCGAGCGUUAUCCGGAUUUAUUGGGUUUAAAGGGAGCGUAGAUGGAUGUUUAAGUCAGUUGUGAAAGUCUGCGGCUCAACCGUAAAAUUGCAGUUGAUACUGGAUAUCUUGAGUGCAGUUGAGGCAGGCGGAAUUCGUGGUGUAGCGGUGAAUGCUUAGAUAUCACGAAGAACUCCGAUUGCGA
rnacentral:rRNA from 1 species